CCUGGGUAAUAAAGGAGUGGCUUUGUAAAAAGUGUUUGAAGGUCCUGGAGUGGCCUAGCCAGUCUCCAGAUCUCAACCCCAUAGAAAAUCUUUGGAGGGAGUUGAAAGUCUGAGUUGUCCAUCGACAAUCCCAAAACAUCUGUGCUCUAGAGGAGAUCUGCAUGGAGGAAUGGGUCAAAAUACCAGCAACAGCUUUUGAAAACCUUGUGAAGACUUACAAAAAAUGUUUAACUGCUGUCAUUGCCAACGAAGGGUAUAUUGCAAAGUACAGAGUUGAACUUUUGUUAUUGACCAAAGACUUAUUUUCCUCCAUAAUUUAAACAAUAAGUUAUUUAAAACCCAACAAUGUGAUUUUCUGGAUUUUUAAAAAAUCUUUAAGUGGGAGAACGUGCACAAUUGGUGUCUGAGUAAAUACUUAUUUCUCCCACAGUAGUUGUUACGUACAAACUAUAAUCAGCGUGACACAAGUUCCCUGCUCCGCUCAAUACUGAUUCAUCCACUGUCAGACAAAUAGAUCCAUGCAUGUCUUUGUUUUCCUCGUCUGAGCUGGAAUCUGGAUCUAAACUGUACGGCUGGAUAGCUCCAAUAUUGCUCGCCAUUUUUGUUGCGCCACUAAUGUUAGCUUUAGGGUGUAAGGGGCUGUAAGCAAUAGGGAGAGAAUGUAAACAAAGCAUAUUUGUUUUAAAAACAGUUCUUGCUCUGAUACCUUUUUUAACAUCUUCAACAAAUCCUAAUUUAUUCUUUCUAUUUUUUUCUUUAUAACUUUCUAUUUUUAAUUGAUGCUGUAAUCUUUAAUAUGUUUUUGUAUUGAUUUAUUUGCAAUUACGUAUUAUAGUCACAUCUUUGCUUAUCUUUCACUCUCUAAAGCUGUCGAAUGUCUCCUAGGGUUCUGUAUCUUCACAGCACCAGCAAAGCUUUAUGGCCAGGACUGAAUGAAGAAACGCAGCACCAGACGUUUCAAGGUUUCAAACCUUCCAGCAUUCUCAGCGGCGUUCUUCCGCUCAUCUGCUGUUUUCAGCUUAAGCCUCGUCCUUUGGUCCCUCCAUAAAUCACAGCAAAUUUGCUGCAGCCUCCACUUGUCUUAUAUCUGCAAAUGUGAAGUGUCAGUUAAAGGAAAAUGACUGUGCUGCAGGUUCUGUCCACUGAAAACAGAAACAAUCAUCUUCCACAGAGGAUUCUCAGCAGAAACUCACAUUUCAGAUCCCAGAAACGAUGACUGACAGUGGAAUAAUGAUCAAAGUGGUUCAAAAAAACUCCAAAUGGAAAAUUAAUGGAUGCUGGAGCAAAGAAGCAGGAAAUGAAGAGGCAGAGACGCUUCAGAGAGCAGUAGGAGAAUCAGAUAAAAGCAUGAAUGGGAGGGGGGUGAACAUGAACUCUGUGACAUGAUAUAACAAUAGAAGCUCAUUAAUGCGUGUUUGACGUCAGUUUUCUGCACGUGGAUGUAAGAAUGAGAGGACGCAGCUCUGCUGCAGUUAUUUCAGGUCCUGUCAGUCCAGCGCUGCCUGACUUCCUGUCUCUUCGGCGCAGUAAUAACUCCCUCACGCUGCCCCUGUCCAAGGUAUGAAAUCAUUAUCAUGCUUGGGAGUGAUGAUGGAGCGCUGUGAGUCACCAGCAGUCUGCCGCCACUGAUUGGUGCAGAGACGACUGCAGGAACGUGGCCUUCCACGCUUCUGAUAACACACAUCAAGGUGGGUGACUGAGUUCACGAGAGCUGAAGCACUCUGGGCUUCACGCUUCACUGAAAGACCCAGUUAGACUUUAGUCAGAGUCACUUUCUAUCCUUUAGUGGAUGCUCCAAGGUCAGAACUCAGGUCAGAACCAUGAACUCACGAUCAGGCUUUUCUCAGGGCAGACUGCUGCCCUCAAAUGCUCUAAAUAAUUCAAAGAACAGAAACACAGACUCCCAAAACUCUGAGAGACUGAAGAUUUUCUCAGAGCUCAUUCUUACUCACAGAAGAAAUCCAAUGUAUUCUUGUUUGAUUUUUACUCAGGCUGACCUAUUAUUUUAGUCACAUCACAAACAUUCAGACAGAAUUCUUUUUAGAAUAAAAUCU
ensembl:lncRNA